rnacentral:lncRNA from 1 species
CAUAAUUAUAUAUUAAUAUAUAUCCUGUUAUUUAUCAUCUUUAGUUAAUAUAGUAGAUUGUAUCACUUGAUUUCUUAACUUUUAAAAAAGAUUUUAUUUAUUUAUUCAUGAGAGACACAGAAGAGAGAGAUUGGGAGAGAGAGGCAGAGACACAGGCAGAGGGAGAAGCAGGCUCCAUGCAGGGAGCCCGACAUGGGACUCGAUCCCAGGUCUCCAGGAUCAUGCCCUGGGCUGAAGGCAGCGUUAAACUGCUAAUCCUCCCGGGCUGCCCUGACUUCUUAAUUUGAACUACCCUUACAUGACUGUAAUAAACUCUACUUAGUCAUGGUGUAUAACUUAUUUUAGACAUUAUUGAAUUCCUAAGAUAUGGUAAAAAAAAAAAAAAGUUUGCAAUUAUAUUCAUGAAAGGUAUUGGUCUAUAGUUAUUGUCAUAGUUCUUUUUGUUUUUUGUUUUUGUUUUUGUUUUUGUUUCUGCUUUUUACGGUUUUUCUCUAGUUUUCUUUUUUUUUUUUGUAAUUUAAAGGUAUUUAUUUAUUUAUUUAUUUAUUUAUUUAUUUAUUCAUUCAUUCAUUCAUUCAUGAGAGACACACAGAGAAGCAGAGAUUUAGGCAGAGGAAGGAGAAGCAGGUUCCACGCAGAGAGCCCAAUGAGGACUCCAUCCCGGAACUCCAGGAUCAAGCCCCGAGCCAAAGACAGGCAAUCAACCACUGAGCCACCCAGGCAUCCCUUUGCUGGUUUCCAUUCAGGGUCAUAUAUCCUAUUGGGUCAACGGGAAGCCUCCGAACAUAGUGGUUAUGAAAAAAAACCCAGGCUGAGCCACUGAAGCAAAUGUUUAUUUUGAUGUAUACUCCCAUGAUUUCCAUGGCAGAGGGCUAGCAGAAUGCAAAUGGUAUACAGUUUCUUCAAGCUUCCAUCCAGAAGUGAUACAUCACAUCUGCUCACAUUUGCCAAAGCAUGUCAUAAAUCCACAUAUAACUUCAAAGGGGGCAGGGACCUACAUUCUUACUCUUUACCCAGAGAGAGGAGAUUUGUGAAUGCCUCUAAUGACCAUGAAAGUUAACAUUAAUGUACUCUCUACAGUGAAUAAAAAGAAUCUAUUAAUCUAUUUAUUAGGCAUUCACAUUUAAUUAUGCUGAUUUAUGAAAUUAAUAAUGUGUGCUGGGCUUGUUUGUGGGCAUAGUACUGUAUAAUCUUACAUAAAAAUGAAUAUGUACAUGACAAAAUUUAUUUUAUUAUUUCAUACGCACACAUGCAUGCACACACACACAGCAAAAGGAUAUUGCUUCUUUCUGUUUUUCCUGGCUAGGUGAAGAAAAAAAUGUUGAAUGUGUCUUUUUCCUGAAUAUAUCAUAAUUAUAAUUCUAUUUGAACAAUUUAUUAUUGGUGGUAGUUUUCUGCCUAUAAAAAUGAUCUGUUCAAACAUAUUAGGCAUUUACCACCUUUGUCUCUAGAGUGCAAUCUCUAGGAUGAAAUUCACUGUCUUUUCAUGUGGCUCAAGUGAGGCUUAUUUUACUACUUUCCAGACAAGGAAAUGGGGUGAUACUCAUAAUAAUCAAAAUAAAAUCUGGCUUAAUUAUAGCACCACUACUCCAUUCGUCUGUGCAACCUCUCUGUGAAUCUAUCAAAACCCCUGAGGGAGGAGAGGAUUGAUGACCUCUCUUAGUCAAUGCUCUUAUUCAAAGACAUGGAAGAAGUAAUAAAAAUAGCUACCAGGUAGUUUAUACACAUUUAUUUCAUUUAAGUCUUAUAACGAAGCUGUGAAGGCAUCAUUAUUAGUAACUGCUGGAAACCAAAUUUGAACACAGCCAUCUGACUACCAAGCCACACUUUCAACUACUACAUCACUCUGAUUCCCUUUUAUUCUGAUCAAAGAAUUAUUUCAUAAAUGACUCAAAUAAUGUCAUAAUUCAAUUUCCUAUAUUACAAAAGAAAGAAAAAAAAAGACUUUCCAGUUAUUUAAACCCUCACAACUUAUAAGAAUAUAGAAGAAACUCCUUGGUAGAUAUAGGCAGUAAUUUUUUGGCUGAUUUGAACCAUAUAGUUCAAUCUUUUUUUUUUUUUUUUUUUUUUUUAAAUUUUUAUUUAUUUAUGAUAGUCACAGAGAGAGAGAGAGGCAGAGACACAGCAGAGGAGAAGCAGGCUCCAUGCACCGGGAGCCCGACGUGGGAUUCGAUCCCGGGUCUCCAGGAUCGCGCCCUGGGCCAAAGGCAGGCGCCAAACCGCUGCGCCACCCAGGGAUCCCUAGUUCAAUCUUUUUAAGAAGAUUGUGACUGUGUCUUGUUUUUCUUUCAAUUUCCAGGUCUUUUGGCUUAACAUGUACUCAUACUAGUACUUCUCCUAGAUACAUUAGUUCACCUAGAGCUAAAGCUUAUAAAGAGCAAAUGUUUCUCUAAGAAAGAGGCCACAAAAAUACCAUCAAAGUAGGUGUAUGUCAGUGAAAUCACUCCAUUUCCCCUUGAAAAUAGUGAAUCACAGGGUGUUAGUGUUGAAGAUGACCAGAGACAUAUUUUAGGUCAACACCUCACACAUCAGAGAAGGAGAAACUGAGGUUUGUCAGAAGAGUCAAGAGCCCAAUCUCCCCCAAAUACCAGCUGCCUGUGUUGGAACAGCUUAAUAAGUUUUCUCAACCAGAAGUGAAGUAUCCUUUUUGUAACAGUGGGUUACUUUGGUGUUUGUAGAGACUAAAUCAUGAGACUUCAAAUAAGUGUUUCUUGGCCUAGUCAAAUCUGUGAGUUGAUGAAAGAAUACAAGCCUUUAGAGUCCUUCCACCCUAUACCCCAGGUUGCUCUGACUUCAAAAGAAGAAAAAUUGCAUCUCUCCUGAAUCACAAAUAUAUACUUUUGACUAAGUACAUCAGGAGAACUGAGCACUGGGAGAAAGUGUUUUUUCAGCUCAGAUGAGCUUGUAAUGAAUUAGAAAGAGCUCAAACCACCUAUGGCUAAAUGAAAUUAUGGACCUGCUAUAGUUUUCUGACCCAUAUCCAUCAAAAUGUCAAAAGGAUAUUAGUAGACAGCAGGCAUGCAACCUGGAAAUAAUAGGGCAACUAUUAAUCUCUUACACUGCUUGAUUCAGCUUUGGGCAAAUGGGACACAGACCAUAUAUAUGCCUAGAAUUAGAAACAUUGAUUUCCAAAGAGCAUCAUACUUGAUUUUUUUGUUUCUGGAGGAGCUAUCACCAUUUACUGUAAAAACACACCUUGGUCAAUUUCUCCAUCGUCUGGUACUCAUUUAAUCUCUUUGCCUCUAGAUUCUGCUGUGGCAAAAACAAGGACAACAGUCCUAAAAUUAAAUCCCAGUUUUCAAGCUAGCUGUGGGCUCUUGGAAAAAAAAAAAAAAAAAAAAAAAAGUCUGAGCCCUACUUUUUUUUUCAUAAGUAAGAUUAAGGGAAUAGCAGCAUUUACCUGUCAGAGCAUCUGUGAGAAAUAAUAUAGAUAUAUGUAAGGCAUAGGGAAAAUGGUCAAUAAAUAGAAACUAUGUCAUUAUUAUCCUUAUUUAAUGCUCUUGGUCGAUGGAACUGUGACAUACUCAAGAUUGAAACACUGCAAAACGAAACUGUUGAUUGAGGGAUUUCUAG